rnacentral:ncRNA from 1 species
GUGUAAUUAAUUAAAGUGAUUAUUAAGGAUGCCUAGCAAACAUUUAUUAAAGGAGGUAAAUAACCAAAAGCUAUGCUCUUGAGAAAACGUAGCGAUCCUAGGAUAAAUUUUAAAAUAUUUUACGCAGUGAAUUGAAACAUCUUAGUAACUGUAGGAAAGGAAAUCAACAGAGACUCUAUUAGUAGCGGCGAGCGAAAAUAGAUUAGCCUAUUAAUUAUUAUUAUAUUAUAGAAAAAACUGGAAAGUGUUCAAAAAAAGGUAAUAGACCUGUAUAUAAUGUAAUGUAAUGAAAUCAAUUAGAGUGGAAGAUAAUCUGCUUGAAUAUUGGGGAACCAUCCUCAAAGGCUAAGUAUAAAUGUUUAGCGAUAGUGAAGAGUAACGUGAGUGAAAGAUGAAAAUAAGAAAGUAGUUAACUGUUGAAAAAGAUCUGAAUUAGUAAUCAUACAAGCAAUUAGAGCUAUUUCUUUAGAUUAUUAUCUUUAGUAAUUGUGAUAAUGUACCUUUUGUAUAAUGGGUUAGCGAGUUAAUAGUAGUAGCAAGGUUAUUAACCCUAGCGAAAGCGAUAAUAUUUAUAACACUAUUAGUAUGUCUGUAAAAAGCUAUUAUUUAGUGUAAGUAUAGAGUAUAGUUACUAUUAUUAGACCCGAAACACGGUGAUCUAUCCAUGGCCAGACUUGAUUAGGUCGAAUGGGUUAAUGUUGCAGUAUUAUCCAAUGAGCUGUGGAUUGUCGGUGAAAGGCCAAUCUGACCGUGAUAUAGCUGGUACUCCUCGAAACAUAUUUUAGUAUGACUUCUUAAAUGAGAUUUAUGCGGGUACAGCAAUGAUCGCCAUGCAUUAUUUCUUUGGAAUAAUUGCGCAACAUGGGGGGUUGACAAGACUUUACCGUUGGUGUGUUAAACUCGAAGUCAACGUGAAUCGAUAAAAGAAUUUCAGACUACUCAUGAUAAGGUGGGUGGUCGAGACGGAAACAGCCGUGAACAUAGAAUAAGGUCCCAAAAUAAUGGUUAA